rnacentral:tRNA from 1 species
UUACAUAUAAGAUAUUCAAUCUGCUGAUUUGUGGUAUCAGUAAACUACUAAGUGUGUAAU